GGCACGCAGGCGGUGACUUAAGUGAGGUGUGAAAGCCCCGGGCUUAACCUGGGAAUUGCAUUUCAUACUGGGUCGCUAGAGUACUUUAGGGAGGGGUAGAAUUCCACGUGUAGCGGUGAAAUGCGUAGAGAUGUGGAGGAAUACCGAAGGCGAAGGCAGCCCCUUGGGAAUGUACUGACGCUCAUGUGCGAAAGCGUGGGGAGCAAACAGGAUUAGAUACCCUGGUAGUCCACGCUGUAAACGAUGUCGAUUUGGGGGUUGAACUUUAGGUUUGGCGCCCGUAGCUAACGUGAUAAAUCGACCGCCUGGGGAGUACGGCCGCAAGGUUAAAACUCAAAUGAAUUGACGGGGGCCCGCACAAGCGGUGGAGCAUGUGGUUUAAUUCGAUGCAACGCGAAGAACCUUACCUACUCUUGACAUCCAGAGAACAUUCCAGAGAUGGAUUGGUGCCUUCGGGAACUCUGAGACAGGUGCUGCAUGGCUGUCGUCAGCUCGUGUCGUGAG
rnacentral:rRNA from 1 species